GCGUUAAUCGGAUUUACUGGGCGUAAAGCGUGCGUAGGCGGCUUUUUAAGUCGGAUGUGAAAUCCCCGAGCUUAACUUGGGAAUUGCAUUCGAUACUGGGAAGCUAGAGUAUGGGAGAGGAUGGUAGAAUUCCAGGUGUAGCGGUGAAAUGCGUAGAGAUCUGGAGGAAUACCGAUGGCGAAGGCAGCCAUCUGGCCUAAUACUGACGCUGAGGUACGAAAGCAUG
rnacentral:rRNA from 1 species